rnacentral:misc_RNA from 1 species
GUGGGAGCGAGCCUGCUCGCGAUUGCGGCGGGUCAGAUACAGUGAUGGCGGCUGAUACACCGCAAUCGCGAGCAGGCUCGCUCCCAC